GACGAACGCUGGCGGCGUGCUUAACACAUGCAAGUCGAACGGAAAGGCCCUGCUUUUGUGGGGUGCUCGAGUGGCGAACGGGUGAGUAACACGUGAGUAACCUGCCCUUGACUUUGGGAUAACUUCAGGAAACUGGGGCUAAUACCGGAUAGGAGCUCCUGCUGCAUGGUGGGGGUUGGAAAGUUUCGGCGGUUGGGGAUGGACUCGCGGCUUAUCAGCUUGUUGGUGGGGUAGUGGCUUACCAAGGCUUUGACGGGUAGCCGGCCUGAGAGGGUGACCGGCCACAUUGGGACUGAGAUACGGCCCAGACUCCUACGGGAGGCAGCAGCGGGGAAUAUUGCACAAUGGGCGGAAGCCUGAUGCAGCAACGCCGCGUGCGGGAUGACGGCCUUCGGGUUGUAAACCGCUUUCGCCUGUGACGAAGCGUGAGUGACGGUAAUGGGUAAAGAAGCACCGGCUAACUACGUGCCAGCAGCCGCGGUGAUACGUAGGGUGCGAGCGUUGUCCGGAUUUAUUGGGCGUAAAGGGCUCGUAGGUGGUUGAUCGCGUCGGAAGUGUAAUCUUGGGGCUUAACCCUGAGCGUGCUUUCGAUACGGGUUGACUUGAGGAAGGUAGGGGAGAAUGGAAUUCCUGGUGGAGCGGUGGAAUGCGCAGAUAUCAGGAGGAACACCAGUGGCGAAGGCGGUUCUCUGGGCCUUUCCUGACGCUGAGGAGCGAAAGCGUGGGGAGCGAACAGGCUUAGAUACCCUGGUAGUCCACGCUGUAAACGGUGGGUACUAGGUGUGGGGUCCAUUCCACGGGUUCCGUGCCGUAGCUAACGCUUUAAGUACCCCGCCUGGGGAGUACGGCCGCAAGGCUAAAACUCAAAGGAAUUGACGGGGCCCCGCACAAGCGGCGGAGCAUGCGGAUUAAUUCGAUGCAACGCGUAGAACCUUACCUGGGUUUGACAUGGAUCGGGAGCGCUCAGAGAUGGGUGUGCCUCUUUUGGGGUCGGUUCACAGGUGGUGCAUGGCUGUCGUCAGCUCGUGUCGUGAGAUGUUGGGUUAAGUCCCGCAACGAGCGCAACCCUUGUUCACUGCUGCCAGCACGUUAUGGUGGGGACUCAGUGGAGACCGCCGGGGUCAACUCGGAGGAAGGUGGGGAUGACGUCAAGUCAUCAUGCCCCUUAUGUCCAGGGCUUCACGCAUGCUACAAUGGCUGGUACAGAGAGUGGCGAGCCUGUGAGGGUGAGCGAAUCUCGGAAAGCCGGUCUCAGUUCGGAUUGGGGUCUGCAACUCGACCUCAUGAAGUCGGAGUCGCUAGUAAUCGCAGAUCAGCAACGCUGCGGUGAAUACGUUCCCGGG
rnacentral:rRNA from 1 species